rnacentral:sRNA from 1 species
UGCACAAGGACUACAACAACCUGUGGAUUAUCAAGAAACAUAACACAAACUCAGAUCCCCUAGACCCUUCCUUCCCAGUGGAGUUUGUAAGACAUGGAGACAUUAUUCGACUAGAACACAAAGAAACUUCCCGGAACUUGCACAGUCACUAUCAUGAGGCCCCCCUGACCCGGAAGCACUAUCAGGUCACCGGCUAUGGCAUAAAUGGAACAGGGGACUCAAAUGAUUUCUGGCGGAUUGAGGUCGUAAACAGAAAAUUUGGAAACCGGAUCAAAGUGCUGAGAAGUCGAAUUCGCUUCAUCCAUUUGGUCACAGGUUGUGUCCUGGGCUCCUCAGGAAAGGUUCUGCCCAAGUGGUAAGUCUCUAGGGUUUUGCUCUCCCAAUCGAGGGUCCUGAUUUUCCUUUCACUCUGCAAGGAGUAUGCCAGAAGCUUUUGUUUUCCUGUGUUCGCCUCCUGUCUGCUUGUUCUUAGUGGCAGAUGGAGGGAGAGUAGAUAUCAGAUGUAUUAUGGAGCACAGAACUCUGGGGGAGCUUCGGUGUUUUAUGUGUUCUGAU